rnacentral:misc_RNA from 1 species
GAUGAAGAACGUAGCGAAAUGCGAUAAGUAAUGUGAAUUGCAGAAUUCAGUGAAUCAUCGAAUCUUUGAACGCACAUUGCGCCCGCCAGUAUUCUGGCGGGCAUGCCUGUCUGAGCGUCAUUUCAACCCUCAUGCCCCUAGGGCGUGGUGUUGGGGAUCGGCCAAAGCCCGCGAGGGACGGCCGGCCCCUAAAUCUAGUGGCGGACCCGUCGUGGCCUCCUCUGCGAAGUAGUGAUAUUCCGCAUCGGAGAGCGACGAGCCCCUGCCGUUAAACCCCCAACUUUCCAAGGUUGACCUCAGAUCAGGUAGGAAUACCCGCUGAACUUAAGCAUAUCAUAAGCGGAGGA